AUGGUCCACGAAGGUGUCCCGUAUGGUGACAUGCAACUGAUUUGUGUGGCAGACAACAUUCUCAAGUUUGUCGGUACGCUCAUAAACUGUGACCUCCUAAAUUUCUUGGUUGAGAUCAAAGCCGCAUAUUUGGCAUCGACCAGGGUUGAAGGCUCCUUUUUCAAAAAGGAUUUGGACGAGGCAGAGGCGAAGCAGCUGGAAAAUGGAAAGCACAACAUGUUGCUGGUCAAUAGGUUUCUCCUACCAUUUAGGUGUCCUUGGACUGCAUGCUCUUUAGCCCAUUCACGGAUGAGCAUGGUGGGGCUUUCAAGAUUGGUCAGUUGCCGCAAUGGUGUUCUACAUAUUCAUGUACUCUGCACAUUCAGGCCAGAUGAGUGGAGCAAGUACAGUUCACUCCGUGAUGGUGCCCACACUAUGUUCUCGUAA
rnacentral:rRNA from 1 species